rnacentral:rRNA from 1 species
AGCGAACGCUGGCGGCAGGCCUAACACAUGCAAGUCGAACGAAGUCUUCGGACUUAGUGGCGGACGGGUGAGUAACACGUGGGAACGUGCCUUUAGGUUCGGAAUAACUCAGGGAAACUUGUGCUAAUACCGAAUGUGCCCUUCGGGGGAAAGAUUUAUCGCCUUUAGAGCGGCCCGCGUCUGAUUAGCUAGUUGGUGAGGUAAAGGCUCACCAAGGCGACGAUCAGUAGCUGGUCUGAGAGGAUGAUCAGCCACAUUGGGACUGAGACACGGCCCAAACUCCUACGGGAGGCAGCAGUGGGGAAUCUUGCGCAAUGGGCGAAAGCCUGACGCAGACAUGCCGCGUGAAUGAUGAAGGUCUUAGGAUUGUAAAAUUCUUUCACCGGGGACGAUAAUGACGGUACCCGGACAAGAAGCCCCGGCUAACUACGUGCCAGCCGCCGCCGUAAGAC